AGGGUUUAAGGCAUGUUUAGGGUUUAGAACUUAAGGUGAAAAAUGUUCUUUUUGUUUUUCUAAUAUAUUAUUAGUGUUGGAUUUUCUUUUUAUCAUUUUAUUUUUUGUGUUAUCUUUAGAUUUUAUGAUGAGAUAUUAAAAAUUUAGAGCUUACUCAAAUUUUAUUCAUUAAUUAUUGUUUUUAAAAUCAAUAAUAAAUAUAACUCACUCUAAUAAAAC
rnacentral:lncRNA from 1 species